UACGUAGGGUGCGAGCGUUGUCCGGAAUUACUGGGCGUAAAGAGCUCGUAGGUGGUUUGUUGCGUUGUCCGUGAAAACUCACAACUCAAUUGUGGGCGUGCGGGCGAUACGGGCAGGCUGGAGUACUGCAGGGGAGACUGGAAUUCCUGGUGUAGCGGCGGAAUGCGCAGAUAUCAGGAGGAACACCGGUGGCGAAGGCGGGUCUCUGGGCAGUAACUGACGCUGAGGCGCGAAAGCGUGGGGAGCAAACAGG
rnacentral:rRNA from 1 species